CCUACGGGCGGCAGCAGUAGGGAAUAUUGCUCAAUGGGCGAAAGCCUGAAGCAGCAACGCCGCGUGGAGGAUGAAGGCUUUCGGAUUGUAAACUCCUUUUGUCAGAGAAGAUAAUGACGGGAUUUAACGAAUCAGCACCGGCGAACUCCGUGCCAGAAGCCGCGGUAAUACGGAGGGUGCAAGCGUUACUCGGAAUCAAUGGGCGUAAAGAGCGCGUAGGCGGGAUAGCAAGUCAGAUGUGAAAUCCUAUGGCUUAACCAUAGAACUGCAUUUGAAACUGGUAUUCUAGAGUAUGGGAGAGGGAGGUGGAAUUCCUGGUGUAGGGGUGAAAUCCGUAGAGAUCAAGAGGAAUACUCAUUGCGAAGGCGGCCUGCUGGAACAUAACUGACGCUGAUGCGCGAAAGCGUGGGGAGCAAACAGGAUUAGAUACCCGUGUAGUC
rnacentral:rRNA from 1 species